rnacentral:tRNA from 2 species
CCGCCAAUAGCUCAGUUGCAGAGCAACAGACUCUUAAUCUGUAGGUCGCAGUGUUCAAGUCCUGCUUGGCGGA